rnacentral:rRNA from 1 species
UACGUAGGGGGCCAGCGUUGUCCGGAAUCAUUGGGCGUAAAGCGCGCGUAGGCGGCCCGGUAAGUCCGCUGUAAAAGUCCAGGGCUCAACCCUGGAAAGCCGGUGGAUACUGUCGGGCUAGAGUCCGGAAGAGGCGAGUGGAAUUCCUGGUGUAGCGGUGAAAUGCGUAGAUAUCUGGAGGAACACCGGUGGCGAAGGCGGCAUCCUGGACCGAGAUUGACGCUGAGGCGCGAAAGCCAGGGGAGCAAACGGG